rnacentral:lncRNA from 1 species
UGUGAACAUAGCCAAAACAAAAUGACAUUAUCAAUAAUAAUAUACAUGCACUAUACCAGUCAUGUAUUUAGCAAUUUACAUUGCAUACACAUAUUCAUAUUGUUAGAUUGUUUUCACAAUACAAAAGGACCCAUGACUUCCAGCGGAGACAUUUACAAUAAAAGGGAUUACUAUCGAAUGCCAGACACAUACCCAGGAUAUGCACUACGGGGACUCCUCGAUCUAGGGUCCAACAGUCACCUGAUCU